AACGCGGGUGAUAAGGUCCGUGUUCGAGAGGGAAACAGCCCAGACCACCAGCUAAGGUCCCAAAAUAUAUGUUAAGUGGAAAAGGAUGUGGCGUUGCCCAGACAACUAGGAUGUUGGCUUAGAAGCAGCCAUCAUUUAAAGAGUGCGUAAUAGCUCACUAGUCGAGUGACACUGCGCCGAAAAUGUACCGGGGCUAAACAUAUUACCGAAGCUGUGGAUUGUCCGUAGGACAAUGGUAGGAGAGCGUUCUAAGGGCGUUGAAGCAUGAUCGCAAGGACAUGUGGAGCGCUUAGAAGUGAGAAUGCCGGUGUGAGUAGCGAAAGACGGGUGAGAAUCCCGUCCACCGAUUGACUAAGGUUUCCAGAGGAAGGCUCGUCCGCUCUGGGUUAGUCGGGUCCUAAGCUGAGGCCGAUAGGCGUAGGCGAUGGAUAACAGGUUGAUAUUCCUGUACCACCAAAAUUCGUUUUGAGCGAUGGGGGGACGCAGUAGGAUAGGCGAAGCGUGCUGUUGGAGUGCACGUCCAAGCAAUAAGACUGAGUAUUAGGCAAAUCCGGUACUCUUAAGGUCAAGUUGUGAUGGGGAGAGGAAAUUUUUUCCUCGAGUCGUUGAUUUCACACUGCCAAGAAAAGCCUCUAGCUAGAAUUUUGGUGCCCGUACCGCAAACCGACACAGGUAGUCAAGAUGAGAAUUCUAAGGUGAGCGAGCGAACUCUCGUUAAGGAACUCGGCAAAAUGACCCCGUAACUUCGGGAGAAGGGGUGCUCUUUAGGGUUAACGCCCAGGAGAGCCGCAGUGAAUAGGCCCAAGCGACUGUUUAUCAAAAACACAGGUCUCUGCUAAACCGUAAGGUGAUGUAUAGGGGCUGACGCCUGCCCGGUGCUGGAAGGUUAAGAGGAGUGGUUAGCUUCGGCGAAGCUACGAAUCGAAGCCCCAGUAAACGGCGGCCGUAACUAUAACGGUCCUAAGGUAGCGAAAUUCCUUGUCGGGUAAGUUCCGACCCGCACGAAAGGCGUAACGAUUUGGGCACUGUCUCAACGAGAGACUCGGUGAAAUCAUAGUACCUGUGAAGAUGCAGGUUACCCGCGACAGGACGGAAAGACCCCGUGGAGCUUUACUGUAGUCUGAUAUUGAAAUUCGUCACAGCUUGUACAGGAUAGGUAGGAGCCUUUGAUACGUGAGCGCUAGCUUACGUGGAGGCGUUGUUGGGAUACUACCCUCGCUGUGUUGGAUUUCUAACCCGCACCAUUUAUCAUGGUGGGAGACAGUGUCAGAUGGGCAGUUUGACUGGGGCGGUCGCCUCCUAAAGAGUAACGGAGGCGCUCAAAGGUUUCCUCAGAAUGGUUGGAAAUCAUUCAUAGAGUGUAAAGGCAUAAGGAAGCUUGACUGCGAGACUUACAAGUCGAGCAGGGUCGAAAGACGGACUUAGUGAUCCGGUGGUUCCGCAUGGAAGGGCCAUCGCUCAACGGAUAAAAGCUACCCCGGGGAUAACAGGCUUAUCUCCCCCAAGAGUUCACAUCGACGGGGAGGUUUGGCACCUCGAUGUCGGCUCAUCGCAUCCUGGGGCUGUAGUCGGUCCCAAGGGUUGGGCUGUUCGCCCAUUAAAGCGGUACGCGAGCUGGGUUCAGAACGUCGUGAGACAGUUCGGUCCCUAUCCGUCGUGGGCGUAGGAAAUUUGAGAGGAGCUGUCCUUAGUACGAGAGGACCGGGAUGGACAUACCUCUGGUGUACCAGUUGUCGUGCCAACGGCAUCGCUGGGUAGCUAUGUAUGGACGGGAUAAGUGCUGAAAGCAUCUAAGCAUGAAGCCCCCCUCAAGAUGAGAUUUCCCAACUUCGGUUAUAAGAUCCCUCAAAGAUGAUGAGGUUAAUAGGUUCGAGGUGGAAGCAUAGCGAUAUGUGGAGCUGACGAAUACUAAUCGAUCGAAGACUUAAUCAA
rnacentral:rRNA from 1 species